GAAUAUUGGACAAUGGGCGAAAGCCUGAUCCAGCAAUGCCGCGUGUGUGAAGAAGGCCUGCGGGUUGUAAAGCACUUUCAGUGGGGAAGAAAAGCGCAGCGCUAACAUCACUGCGUCUUGACGUUACCCAAAGAAGAAGCACCGGCUAACUCCGUGCCAGCAGCCGCGGUAAUACGGAGGGUGCGAGCGUUAAUCGGAAUUACUGGGCGUAAAGCGCACGUAGGCGGUCUGGCAAGUCGGGUGUGAAAGCCCUGGGCUCAACCUGGGAAUUGCAUUCGAAACUACCUGACUCGAGUAUGGGAGAGGGAAGCGGAAUUUCCGGUGUAGCGGUGAAAUGCGUAGAUAUCGGAAGGAACACCAGUGGCGAAGGCGGCUUCCUGGACCAAUACUGACGCUGAGGUGCGAAAGCGUGGGGAGCAAACAGG
rnacentral:rRNA from 1 species